rnacentral:rRNA from 1 species
GUAGGGAAUCUACCACAAUGGACGAAAGUCUGAUGGAGCAACGCCGCGUGAAGGAAGAAGGUUUUCGGAUCGUAAACUUCUAUCCUUGGUGAAGAUAAUGACGGUAGCCAAGAAGGAAGCCCCGGCUAACUACGUGCCAGCAGCCGCGGUAAUACGUAGGGGGCAAGCGUUGUCCGGAAUGAUUGGGCGUAAAGGGCGCGUAGGCGGCCUGGUAAGUCUGGAGUGAAAGUCCUGCUUUUAAGGUGGGAAUUGCUUUGGAUACUGUCGGGCUUGAGUGCAGGAGAGGUAAGCGGAAUUCCCGGUGUAGCGGUGAAAUGCGUAGAGAUCGGGAGGAACACCAGUGGCGAAGGCGGCUUACUGGACUGUAACUGACGCUGAGGCGCGAAAGUGUGGGGAGCAAACAGGAUUAGAUACCCCAGUAGUCC